rnacentral:rRNA from 1 species
GACGAACGCUGGCGGCGGGCUUAACACAUGCAAGUCGAGCGGAAUGGCCCUGCUGUUGUGGGGUGCUCGAGUGGCGAACGGGUGAGUAACACGUGAGUAACCUGCCCUUGACUUUGGGAUAACUUCAGGAAACUGUGGCUAAUACCAGAUAGGAUCUCCUGCUGCAUGGUGUGGGUUGGAAAGUUUCGGCGGUUGUGGAUGGACUCGCGGCUUAUCAGCUUGUUGGGUAGGUAGUGGCUUACCAAGGCUUUGACGGGUAGCCGGCCUGAGAGGGUGACCGGCAACAUUGGGACUGAGAUACGGACCAGACUAGUAAGGGAGGCAGCAGUGUGGAAUAUAGCACAAUGGGCGGAAGCCUGAUGCAGCAACGCCGCGUGCGGGAUGAUGGCCUUCGGGUUGCAAACCGCUUUCGCAUGUGACGAAGCGUGAGUGACGGUAAUGGGUAAAGAAGCACCGGCUAACUACGUG